AGAACGAACGCUGGCGGCAUGCCUAACACAUGCAAGUCGAACGUGAUCCAGACUUCGGUUUGGUGAAAGUGGCAGACGGGUGAGUAACGCGUGGGAACCUGCCCUGUGGUAGGGAAUAACCGUGGGAAACUGCGGCUAAUACCCUAUGAGUCCUUCGGGAGAAAGAUUUAUCGCCAUAGGAGGGGCCCGCGUCGGAUUAGGUAGUUGGUGGGGUAACGGCCUACCAAGCCUUCGAUCCGUAGCUGGUCUGAGAGGAUGAUCAGCCACACUGGGACUGAGAUACGGCCCAGACUCCUACGGGAGGCAGCAGUGGGGAAUAUUGGACAAUGGGGGCAACCCUGAUCCAGCAAUGCCGCGUGGAUGAUGAAGGCCUUGGGUUGUAAAGUCCUUUCGGCGGGAGAUGAUGACGGUACCGCAGAAGAAGCCCGGCUAACUUCGUGCCAGCAGCCGC
rnacentral:rRNA from 1 species